AAAGUCUGAUGGAGCAACGCCGCGUGAGUGAUGAAGGUUUUCGGAUCGUAAAACUCUGUUGUAAGGGAAGAACCAGUACGUCAGGCAAUGGACGUACCUUGACGGUACCUUAUUAGAAAGCCACGGCUAACUACGUGCCAGCAGCCGCGGUAAUACGGAGGGUGCAAGCGUUACUCGGAAUCACUGGGCGUAAAGAGCACGUAGGCGGCCUUGCAAGUCAGAUGUGAAAUCCAACGGCUUAACCGUUGAACUGCAUUUGAAACUGCAAGGCUAGAGUAUGGGAGAGGUAGGUGGAAUUCUCGGUGUAGGGGUAAAAUCCGUAGAGAUCGAGAGGAAUACUCAUUGCGAAGGCGACCUGCUGGAACAUUACUGACGCUGAGGUGCGAAAGCGUGGGGAGCAAACA
rnacentral:rRNA from 1 species